rnacentral:rRNA from 1 species
CGGACGGGUGAGUAACACGUGGAUAACCUACCUAUAAGACUGGGAUAACUUCGGGAAACCGGAGCUAAUACCGGAUAAUAUAUUGAACCGCAUGGUUCAAUAGUGAAAGACGGUUUUGCUGUCACUUAUAGAUGGAUCCGCGCUGCAUUAGCUAGUUGGUAAGGUAACGGCUUACCAAGGCAACGAUGCGUAGCCGACCUGAGAGGGUGAUCGGCCACACUGGAACUGAGACACGGUCCAGACUCCUACGGGAGGCAGCAGCA